GUCCUGCAAGGUGAGCGUUAGGGCACCACCGUCACCUACAACAUGCACCGCCAGUCCUGCAAGGUGAGCGUUAGGGCACCGCCGUCACCUACAACAUGCACCGCCAGUCCUGCAAGGUGAGGGUACCGCCGUCACCUACAACAUGCACCGCCAGUCCUGCAAGGUGAGCGUUAGGGCACCGCCGUCACCUACAACAUGCACCGCCAGUCCUGCAAGGUGAGCGUUAGGGCACCGCCAUCACCUAUAACAUGCACCACCAGUCCUG